rnacentral:rRNA from 1 species
AGGCGAGGGGUUGUGGGAGUGUGUGUACCGGUGCUACCACGCCGGUGCGGAGUAAGAAAUCGAGGGUAUAGACGAAGGGUCUGGAAAGGCCUGGCAGAGUCGGUGACACCCCGGUAGUCGAAAUGUCCUCGACUCCGUAUCGCAUUUCCCAAGUAGUACGGGGCCCGAGAAAUCCCGUACGAAUCUGGCAGGACCACCUGCUAAGCCUAAAUAUUCCUUGGUGACCGAUAGCGGACAAGUA